GUGCUUGCUUCAGCAGCACAUAUACUAAAAUAAAAAUGAUACAGAGAAGAUUAUCAUGGCCCCUUCGCAAGGACGAUAUGCAAAUUCGUGGUGUUCCAUAUUUUA